rnacentral:rRNA from 1 species
CGAAAGUUACGCUAAUACCGCAUACGAUCUACGGAUGAAAGCGGGGGGUCGCAAGACCUCGCGCGAUUGGAGCGGCCGAUAUCAGAUUAGGUAGUUGGUGGGGUAAAGGCUCACCAAGCCAACGAUCUGUAGCUGGUCUGAGAGGACGACCAGCCACACUGGAACUGAGACACGGUCCAGACUCCUACGGGAGGCAGCAGUGGGGAAUUUUGGACAAUGGACGCAAGUCUGAUCCAGCCAUUCCGCGUGCAGGAUGAAGGCCCUCGGGUUGUAAACUGCUUUUGUACAGAACGAAAAGGUUUCCAUUAAUACUGGGAGCUCAUGACGGUACUGUAAGAAUAAGCACCGGCUAACUACGUGCCAGCAGCCGCGGUAAUACGUAGGGUGCAAGCGUUAAUCGGAAUUACUGGGCGUAAAGCGUGCGCAGGCGGUUAUGUAAGACAGAUGUGAAAUCCCCGGGCUCAACCUGGGAACUGCAUUUGUGACUGUAUAGCUAGAGUACGGUAGAGGGGGAUGGAAUUCCGCGUGUAGCAGUGAAAUGCGUAGAUAUGCGGAGGAACACCGAUGGCGAAGGCAAUCCCCUGGGCCUGCACUGA